AGAGUGAACGCUGGCGGCAGGCCUAAUACAUGCAAGUCGAACGGCAGCACGGCAGAGCUUGCUCUGUGGGUGGCGAGUGGCGGACGGGUGAGGAAUACAUGGGAAUCUGCCCAGUCGUGGGGGAUAACGUAGGGAAACUUACGCUAAUACCGCAUGCGCCCUUCGGGGGAAAGCCGGGGACCUUCGGGCCUGGCGCGAUUGGAUGAGCCCAUGUCGGAUUAGCUAGUUGGCGGGUAACGGCCCACAAGGCGACGAUCCGUAGCUGGUCUGAGAGGAUGAUCAGCCACACUGGAACUGAGACACGGUCCAGACUCCUACGGGAGCAGCAGUAGGGAAUAUUGGACAAUGGGCGCAAGCCUGAUCCAGCCAUGCCGCGUGAGUGAAGAAGGCCUUGGUUGAAAGCUCUUUUUGACCGGAAAAGAAAAGCUUACGGCAAUACCCCGGAGUCCUGACGUACCGGAAGAAUAAGCACCGGCUAACGUUCGCGCCAGCAGCCGUACG
rnacentral:rRNA from 1 species